rnacentral:rRNA from 1 species
AUUGAACGCUGGCGGCAGGCUUAACACAUGCAAGUCGAGCGAGCGGCGGACGGGUGAGUAAUGUCUGGGAAACUGCCUGAUGGAGGGGUAUAACUACUGGAAACGGUAGCUAAUACCGCCUACCCUCAGCUGUGCCCAGAUGGGAUGAGCUAGUAGGUGGGGUAAUGGCUCACCUAGGCGACGAUCCCUAGCUGGUCUGAGAGGAUGCCCAGCCACACUGGCACUGAGACAAGGUCCAGACUCCUACGGGAGGCAGCAGUGGGUAAGAUUGCACAAUGGGCGCAAGCCUGAUGCAGCCAUGCCGCGUGUAUGAAGAAGGCCUUAGGGUUGUAAAGUACUUUCAGCGGGGAGGCGUUACCCGCAGAAGAAGCACCGGCUAACUCCGUGCCAGCAGCCGCGGUAAUAC